GAUGAGGAACGUAGCGAAAUGCGAUAAGUAAUGUGAAUUGCAGAAUUCAGUGAAUCAUCGAGUCUUUGAACGCACAUUGCGCCCCCUGGUAUUCCGGGGGGCAUGCCUGUCCGAGCGUCAUUGCUGCCCUCAAGCACGGCUUGUGUGUUGGGCCGUCGUCCCCCUCCUAGGGGACGGGCCCGAAAGGCAGCGGCGGCACCGCGUCCGGUCCUCGAGCGUAUGGGGCUUCAUCACCCGCUCCGUAGGCCCGGCCGGCGCUUGCCGACGACCAUCAAUCUCUUUCUCCAGGUUGACCUCGGAUCAGGUAGGGAUACCCGCUGAACUUAAGCAUAUCAAUAAGCGGAGGA
rnacentral:misc_RNA from 1 species